rnacentral:misc_RNA from 1 species
UGGCUCUCGCAUCGAUGAAGAACGCAGCGAAAUGCGAUAAGUAAUGUGAAUUGCAGAAUUCAGUGAAUCAUCGAAUCUUUGAACGCACCUUGCACCCUUUGGUAUUCCGAAGGGUACGCCCGUUUGAGUGUCAUUGUAAUCUCACGCCCUCUGACUUUUGUCCGAGGGAUUGUGGACUUGGACGCUGUCGUGUAACAACGACUCGUCUCAAAUGCAUGAGUGUACCCUGCGUCCGCAGCGUAUUCGGUGUGAUAAGCAUCUUCACCGGACUUGGUGCCUUCUGGCACGCGCUCGCAAGUGUUGGGCUCUGCGCUUCGAACCGUCUUCGGACACCUCUUGACAAUUUGACCUCAAAUCGGGUGGGACUACCCGCUGA